rnacentral:lncRNA from 1 species
GCCCAUUGCGCUGGGCAGAGGGGCCGGCGCGGUUCCCCAUUUCUGCACUCGGGGCAGGGCCCGGGGGCCGCAGCCGCCAAAAACCGCUUACUCCCCCAGGGUUUCUCCGGAGUUCUACUCACUCAGGUCCCCGCCCCUCACACCCAGCCCGGGCCGCGCUUCCCACCCGAUAGUACGUACCAGGCGUCGGCUCCCCGGCCUCCAGGCAGUAGGGUGGCCGUGUCAGGGCCCCGUCCGGAGACGACGGCCCAGGGACACUCAUGUCCCUCCAGCUGGGAACACAGGGAAGAAGCAAACGUGUGGCUCGUCAGAAGCAAGGCGGCACCUAACGACUCCAGCGGCUGGCCGGACAGAAGAGAUUGUCGCACCCGGAAGUGACGGGGGCGAAAAAACUGCGGGCUUCGAUCACGCGCUCGAGAGUUGGCUCUGCCCCAUGGCGUUGUGGGGACCCCGCGCUGAUAUCGUCGUCUGGCCCCGGACGCAGUGUCAGCGGACUCAGCAGUGUGGGGCUCGAGUCCCUGCGAUCCGAUUGGUGGGAGCUGGGGGAGGACGGUGGUCGGUUUGGGCUGCUCACGGGGUGGGUCACGAAGACCGGAAGAGCGUUGUCUUUGUUGGACGCGGGGGAGCCGUCAGGCUUUCUUCACUGAAGCUAGGGAGAAAACAGGACUUUCAGCCCUCACGCGGCACAGCUUUUUAGUGUUGUCUCCGUGUUUAGGGAAAACCUUCAGAACAGGGAGUGCUCGCUUUCCCUGCGAUUUGGACCAUUAAAAAAUUCGAUGCCUAGGUCUCUGCGAGCCUCAGCCUUGCUAACUAGGGUUUUGCCACUUUUCCGGGCUCCCCUUGUUAAGUGUAGAUGAAAGAUUUAAGCCCUCCGUUGCAGCAGCUACUGAACAAAUUCGGCCAAGUUAUCAGAAACUGCACUUGCUGAGAUCCUGUGGAAUGAUCUCAUGAAUUCUGUUGGAAAACACUUAGAAAAGGGCAUAGGCAGCUUUGGACCAAAGAAAACGAUUUAGCUCUGCCAUCUCUAGCUUAUACCCUCUCAUCUCAACUGUAAUGGUGGCCUCCUAAUGUUGCUCCCCAAUUAUGCCUGUUCAGUUUUCUCAGCUGCAACCAAAGCUUAUUUCAAAAAAAUAAGAAUUUGCAAGACUCAGAAACUUGCACUGGUUCCCCAUUGCCUUUAUCAGUGCAUUCACACACUUUCCUCUUUGGGCCUCUUUUCCUCUUAGUAUUAGCUCCUUCUUAUUAACUCUGGUAGGCAGAAUACUAGCCCCUCAAAGAUGUCCACAGCCUGAACACCAGAAGCUGUGAAUAUGUUAGCUUGCAUAGCAAAUGGGAAUUAAGGUUGUUAAUUACCUGGUGUUGAAAUAGAUUAUCCUGGAAUCGCUUUAACCAGGGAGGCAGAGGUUGCAGUGAGCUGAGCAGCUCCACUGCACUCCAGCCUGGGCGACAGGGCGAGAUUCCAUCUUAAAAAAAAAACAUUAUCCUGGAUUGUUCCAGUGGGCUGAUUGUAAUCAUAGGGCCUCCAAAACUGCAAAAGAGAGUCAAGAGUGACAAGUAACUAUGAAGAAUGAUUAGAGAGAUACAACAUUGUUGGCUUUGAAUAUAGAGGAAGGGAGCCUCCAGCAUUGUGGGUGACCUCCAGAAGCUGGAACUGGUAAGGAAACAUUCCCCUGAAGCCUCUCUAAUGCUCUGAUGACACCUUGAUUUUAUCCUCAUGUGAUCAAUGUUGGACUUCUGACCAACAGAACUGUGAAAUAAUCUGUGUCUUAAGUUUGUGAUAACUUGUUAUAACACCAAUAAUAAUGUACGGUAUACCCUUCAAGACAUUCUUUAUUCCAUGUGAGCAUUCUCCUAAAAUUAUGCCCUUUCAUGUCUGCAGUGCUCUUGCCUAUGCUUCAACCUGAAAUAUUCUAUCCUUUUGUAAACCAAAAAUAAAAUUAUAAACCCCACAACUGACUGAUGGACCCCCUGCCCCUCACCUCUUGGCCAAGGGCAUUCCAAAGUAAACCUGAAAAUCUAGUUAUUCCAUCAUCUAGAUGGAAGUGGGGAUGGGGGGGUUAGUCCCGGGGGUGGGUCGGACAUGGCUCAUUAUACCCUCCUCCCUUUGGAAUUCAGGCUGAGCUGAACAGCAUUCACAUGAAAACAGAUCUUAAGACUGCCAGACUUUUUCUAGCUUUUCUAGAACUUUAUUUUUGACACCAAGCCAGCCUGACUCUAGUAUAGCAUCACGACAGAUAGCAGGCCCUGAAGGAAAUUGAAUUAUUUAACCCCAAAAUAUAUUCCUUUGACAUAUUUUUAAAUGGCCCUGCAAAGCUGUAUCUUGUGGGGGAAAACCUACAGUCUGUAGAAAAGCCCUGUUCCUUUCCAGGUGUUUUCCCUUACCCAGGAGGGAAUUAACCAAGUCUGGCACCUUUUUAGGUCUGAUAAGAGCUCUACCAGAGGCUUCAUCUGCAUAAUAAAACCUUGAUCUCUGCCAGGGACAGUGGCUCACGC